UGUGUAGGCGGAAUUGUAAGUACCUUGUGAAAUCCCACGGCUCAACCGUGGAACUGCUUGGUAUACUGCUUUUCUUGAGCCACUUAGGGGCUGUCGGAACAAACGGUGGAGCGGUGAAAUGCGUAGAUAUCGUUUGGAACGCCAAAGGUGAAAACAGACAGCUGGGAGUGUGCUGACGCUGAGACACGAAAGCCAGGGGAGCGAACG
rnacentral:rRNA from 1 species